GUGAACGCUGGCGGUAGGCCUAACACAUGCAAGUCGCACGGCAGCACAGUAAGAGCUUGCUCUUACGGGUGGCGAGUGGCGGACGGGUGAGGAAUACAUCGGAAUCUACUUUUUCGUGGGGGAUAACGUAGGGAAACUUACGCUAAUACCGCAUACGACCUACGGGUGAAAGCAGGGGAUCUUCGGACCUUGCGCGAUUGAAUGAGCCGAUGUCGGAUUAGCUAGUUGGCGGGGUAAAGGCCCACCAAGGCGACGAUCCGUAGCUGGUCUGAGAGGAUGAUCAGCCACACUGGAACUGAGACACGGUCCAGACUCCUACGGGAGGCAUCAGUGGGGAAUAUUGGACAAUGGGCGCAAGCCUGAUCCAGCCAUACCGCGUGGGUGAAGAAGGCCUUCGGGUUGUAAAGCCCUUUUGUUGGGAAAGAAAAGCAGCAGGUUAAUACCCCGCUGUUCUGACGGUACCCAAAGAAUAAGCACCGGCUAACUUCGUG
rnacentral:rRNA from 1 species